GAUGAACGCUGGCGGCGUGCCUAAUACAUGCAAGUCGAGCGAACAGAUGAGAAGCUUGCUUCUCUGAUGUUAGCGGCGGACGGGUGAGUAACACGUGGGUAACCUACCUAUAAGACUGGGAUAACUCCGGGAAACCGGGGCUAAUACCGGAUAGUAUUUUGAACCGCAUGGUUCAAUAGUGAAAGACGGUUUCGGCUGUCACUUAUAGAUGGACCCGCGCCGUAUUAGCUAGUUGGUAAGGUAACGGCUUACCAAGGCGACGAUACGUAGCCGACCUGAGAGGGUGAUCGGCCAUACUGGAACUGAGACACGGUCCAGACUCCGACGGGAGGCAGCAGUAGGGAAUCUUCCGCAAUGGGCGAAAGCCUGACGGAGCAACGCCGCGUGAGUGAUGAAGGUCUUCGGAUCGUAAAACUCUGUUGUUAGGGAAGAACAAAUUUGUUAGUAACUGAACAAGUCUUGACGGUACCUAACCAGAAAGCCACGGCUAACUACGUGCCAGCAGCCGCUGUAA
rnacentral:rRNA from 1 species